GUUCGACACUAUGAAACACAUACAGACUUCAUGAUGUUCGGCUAAUAUUUUUAUUGUGAAUAUUAAUCAUGAGGGUAAACGGCCCUGUACACCACGGAGCGAGGUCAGCAUAUCCACGAUAUCCUCAGCUCCAUGAGUUAACACAGAGUUUCCCAGCUGACUAUCUAACUGCCAACUAUUCCAGAGACGUGAAAAUAUACAGCAUAAAGAAAAGUGUAAGAGACUCAGCAGCAGAUUAGAAUAACAGUUAUACAUUUAAUAAAUCACCAAAUGAAUCCAAGAAACGAGCAAACCUGUUCCGACAAUUUGAGUUUGUAUUCCCUCAGCUGCAGACUCGCUGCUGUUUAAAUGUUUGAAAAGAAAGAUUAGAUAUAAAAAACGUCAAACAUAGACUCAGUCUGCCUUCACAUUUGAUAUGAGGCCAGCACGUAUAGUGGCUCAGGCUAUUACUGAAAUACACGUGCUAUAUCAUAAACUAUGAUAUAAAUAGGGAGGUCCUAUUAACAUGUUUAGUUUUAAAGGACACCUUCCUGACUUUAGUCUCCUUCAUGAGCAGUAUUAGUUUUCUUCUAACAUCCAGAAGUCUGCACGAUGUGUUUCAUAGUUUGUAACAAGCCUUUGACAGGUAAACAUAAGAUGACCGAAAAAGAAAAAAAAAAAAAGAGAGAGAGAGAGAGAGAGAGUGUUGACAUAAGAGAAAAUGCUCUCAAUUAUGGAGACAGGCGAAUGGUUCAUUUAUGUUUGAUGCGUGUUUAUUCCUCCCUAAUCGUCGGUGAAGUUUGCCAUGCACGUCAGAUUUUCCUGCGCAUUUUUAUACCUCUGCCAACAGACAGAGAAAAAAAAUCACAUUCUAACAGACAGCUGGUGCUUAGAAUACAGUUGAAUAACUAUUAAAAAACAGAUGAUAUAAUAUUUCUGUCCAGGUUGCAGACUUCAUGAUGAGCAUGCUGUUGCAAACUCUGCUCCUCUUGGUGGAAAUGCGCCUUCUCUUUCCUCUUUGUAUAAAAACAUUUUAAAAGUCAGUUUAAUCUCAAAAUUCACUGUUAAAUCCAAAACACACCAGAUAAAGAAAAGCGAAUAGUUCAGUCUAACACAUGUGCCAGUGAACCAUUAAACGUCUGUGAAACUAUGCAGUUAUGAAACGUAACUUUAACCUCAGCCAAAC
ensembl:lncRNA